AUAACGUAGCGAAAGUUACGCUAAUACCGCAUAUUCUGUGAGCAGGAAAGCAAGGGAUCGCAAGACCUUGCGCUGAUUGAGCGGCCGAUGUCAGAUUAGCUAGUUGGUGAGGUAAAGGCUCACCAAGGCGACGAUCUGUAGCGGGUCUGAGAGGAUGAUCCGCCACACUGGAACUGAGACACGGUCCAGACUCCUACGGGAGGCAGCAGUGGGGAAUUUUGGACAAUGGGGGCAACCCUGAUCCAGCCAUGCCGCGUGAGUGAAGAAGGCCUUCGGGUUGUAAAGCUCUUUCGGCCGGGAAGAAAUCGUAUGGGCUAAUACCCUGUGCGGAUGACGGUACCGGCAUAAGAAGCACCGGCUAACUACGUG
rnacentral:rRNA from 1 species